rnacentral:rRNA from 1 species
AUGAAAGCACGGAGGCCUACGGCUGAUCACGGUCAGCUGCGGGAAGCAGGGCACGACAAAGGUCCUGAACCCGCCGGAGUCGGGACGAAGGCGAGCUCCGGCGACGGGACUUGGCGGCGGGGCCGACUAGAACUGCUGCUGGUGGCGCCCAGUGUCCCUGGUGAAGCGGCGGCCGUGGACUUGUCUGAAGAGGACGGCUCGGGCAGGAGGCGCGAGCACAGGGACUUGGCUGGCGGGGCUCCUCAACGCAGGAAGCAGUGGGCGAUGGCGCUGGUCGCAGAGCAAGGCAAGCUCGAGGCGAAGGUGAACGGCGGCGAGGAGGCCGACGGGCUCCGGCCUGGCUCCCUGAACCGAAGGAGGAGGGAGGAAGGCAGGGGCGCGCUGGUCGACGACGAGGGCGACGGGGAGGUCUAG